AUGCAACGUUAUGGAUACCAUGCCCGAUCACCAUCGAGAAAGAAGAAUUUUGAUAAAUCACUUCGGGUGAGCGGGGCCUUCAAGCGGCCUCAAUACGCCGGGGUUGUAAAUGACAUACCUUUCCUUAUGGGAAAUGCCGCCUCCUUACUAAAAAGGAAUAGAAUCAAGUUAUUUUUACUAAAGAAGUCCCGCUCUGACGGCCCGACGAGUCAUCUACUAAAAAGGACCCUCCCCGCUGUGCGCCCCUCCUUGAAUUAUUCGGUCAUGCAAUACUUUUUUAAUACUAAGAAUAAAAUGCAUUUCGACCCCGUCCUAGUUCUCAAUCAUUUCGUGGCACCGGGUGUGGCUGAACCAUCUAUGAUGGGGGGAGCGAAGGGAGGAAGCUUAGAUAAGAGAAUACGCUCUCGCAUCGCUUUUUUUUAG
rnacentral:rRNA from 1 species